rnacentral:piRNA from 1 species
CCAAGGAGAGAGGAAACUGUAGG